AUACAUUAAAUUACCGCUGACAGUGACUGCACCCGUCCCCAUUAUCCUGAAACGUCUUUUUUAAAUUUAAAAUUCAACGAAAAUAAUUCCAUUUUUAAAAUAUUUGUUUGAAUAUCAAUGGAAGGUUUUUUGUCUAUCGAGAUUAACAACGUUUUGUUAUGCACAAUACAUAGUGUCAUUUUACUUUAUUACGAAGCUUUAAAUCAAGUGCUUAUUUAUCUUUCGUUUUGUACGGUC